UACAGAGGUCUCAACCGUUGUUCGGAUUCAUUGGGCGUAAAGGGUGAGUAGGCGGUCGCGCAAGUCGGAUGUGAAAUCUUAGGGCUCAACCCUGAAACUGCAUUCGAUACUGCGUGGCUCGAGUACUGGAGAGGAGACUGGAAUUUACGGUGUAGCAGUGAAAUGCGUAGAUAUCGUAAGGAAGACCAGUGGCGAAGGCGAGUCUCUGGACAGUUACUGACGCUGAGGCACGAAGGCCAGGGGAGCAAACGGG
rnacentral:rRNA from 1 species